UAACUUGUUCUUCGAGAUGUUGC
rnacentral:miRNA from 2 species